rnacentral:rRNA from 1 species
AUUGAACGCUGGCGGCAUGCUUUACACAUGCAAGUCGAACGGUAACAGGCCGCAAGGUGCUGACGAGUGGCGAACGGGUGAGUAAUGCAUCGGAACGUGCCCAGUCGUGGGGGAUAACUACUCGAAAGAGUAGCUAAUACCGCAUACGAUCUAUGGAUGAAAGCGGGGGACCGUAAGGCCUCGCGCGAUUGGAGCGGCCGAUGUCAGAUUAGGUAGUUGGUGGGGUAAAGGCUCACCAAGCCAACGAUCUGUAGCUGGUCUGAGAGGACAACCAGCCACACUGGGACUGAGACACGGCCCAGACUCCUACGGGAGGCAGCAGUGGGGAAUUUUGGACAAUGGGCGCAAGCCUGAUCCAGCAAUGCCGCGUGCAGGAAGAAGGCCUUCGGGUUGUAAACUGCUUUUGUACGGAACGAAACGGCUCUGGUUAAUACCCGGGGCUAAUGACGGUACCGUAAGAAUAGGCACCGGCUAACUACGUG